rnacentral:misc_RNA from 1 species
AAGUCGUAACAAGGUAACCGUAGGUGAACCUGCGGUUGGAUCAUUAUUGAAUCUAUGCAAAAGUCUCAGAGGUUUUACCUUGAAAGACUGGAGCAAACCUUUUGAGGGGUGCCUAACUCUUUUAGAGGAAGGCCCACUCUACACACCCCAAUGUCUGCGGGGUUACGGGGUAGUUCCUAGAACAUGCCCGUAAUAUGCGACAGCUAGUGUGGGAUUCCUAGUCAUAGGAUGAAAGCACGCCAUAGACUUUUGUUGGCUUUGUUUAAAAGCUUAUUUUGUUUUAUUUGGUGCUUGUCACUGAAUGCAAAGUAAUAAUCUAAACAACUUUUGACAACGGAUCUCUUGGCUCUC